GGACCCUUACCAAUCCCUUGACAUCCUGCGAACCUUUCUAGAGAUAGAUUGGUGCCUUCGGGAAACGCAGUGACAGGUGCUGCAUGGCUGUCGUCAGCUCGUGUCGUGAGAUGUUGGGUUAAGUCCCGCAACGAGCGCAACCCUUAUCUUUAGUUGCUACCAUUUAGUUGAGAACUCUAAAGAGACUGCCGGUGAUAAACCGGAGGAAGGCGGGGACGACGUCAAGUCAUCAUGGCCCUUAUGGGAUGGGCUACACACGUGCUACAAUGGGGGGUACAAAGAGCAGCUAGCUGGCGACAGUGCGCGAAUCUCAUAAAACCCUUCGUAGUCCGGAUUGGAGUCUGCAACUCGACUCCAUGAAGUCGGAAUCGCUAGUAAUCGUGAAUCAGAAUGUCACGGUGAAUACGUUCCCGGGCCUUGUACACACCGCCCGUCACACCAUGGGAGUGGGUUGCAAAAGAAGUAGGUAGUCUAACCUUCGGGAGGGCGCUUACCACUUUGUGAUUCAUGACUGGGGUGAAGUCGUAACAAGGUAACC
rnacentral:rRNA from 1 species